rnacentral:tRNA from 1 species
GAUCAAUUGAUAGGCUGUCUUGAAAACAGUUAAUGAGUGUGUCGUUAUGCUCGUUGGUCU